ACAUGCAAGUCGAACGAACCCUUCGGGGUUAGUGGCGCACGGGUGCGUAACGCGUGGGAAUCUGCCCAAAGGUUCGGAAUAACUCGGGGAAACUCGUGCUAAUACCGGAUAAUGUCGCAAGACCAAAGAUUUAUUGCCUUUGGAUGAGCCCGCGUAGGAUUAGCUAGUUGGUGGGGUAAAAGCCUACCAAGGCGACGAUCCUUAGCUGGUCUGAGAGGAUGAUCAGCCACACUGGGACUGAGACACGGCCCAGACUCCUACGGGAGGCAGCAGUGGGGAAUAUUGGACAAUGGGCGAAAGCCUGAUCCAGCAAUGCCGCGUGAGUGAUGAAGGCCUUCGGGUCAUAAAGCUCUUUUACCAGGGAUGAUAAUGACAGUACCUGGAGAAUAAGCUCCGGCUAACUCCGUGCCAGCAGCCGCGGUAAUACGGAGGGAGCUAGCGUUGUUCGGAAUUACUGGGCGUAAAGCGCACGUAGGCGGCUAUUCAAGUCAGAGGUG
rnacentral:rRNA from 1 species